UGGGGAAUUUUGCGCAAUGGGCGAAAGCCUGACGCAGCAACGCCGCGUGAGUGAUGAAGGCCUUUGGGUCGUAAAGCUCUGUCAGAGGGGAAGAAACUCCCGGAGGUUAAUACCCUUCGGGCCUGACGGUACCCUCAAAGGAAGCACCGGCUAACUCCGUGCCAGCAGCCGCGGUAAUACGGAGGGUGCAAGCGUUGUUCGGAAUUAUUGGGCGUAAAGCGCGUGCAGGCGGCUGCUCAAGUCUGAUGUGAAAGCCCGGGGCUCAACCCCGGAAGUGCAUUGGAAACUGGGCGGCUUGAGUACGGGAGAGGGAGGUAGAAUUCCGAGUGUAGGGGUGAAAUCCGUAGAUAUUCGGAGGAAUACCGGUGGCGAAGGCGGCCUCCUGGACCGAUACUGACGC
rnacentral:rRNA from 1 species